rnacentral:rRNA from 1 species
UACAGAGGUCUCAAGCGUUGUUCGGAUUCAUUGGGCGUAAAGGGUGCGUAGGUGGCGCCGUAAGUCAGGUGUGAAAUUUCGGAGCUUAACUCCGAAACUGCAUUUGAUACUGCGGUGCUUGAGGACUGGAGAGGAGACUGGAAUUCACGGUGUAGCAGUGAAAUGCGUAGAUAUCGUGAGGAAGACCAGUGGCGAAGGCGGGUCUCUGGACAGUUCCUGACACUGAGGCACGAAGGCUAGGGGAGCGAACGGG